UUCGAACUAGCAUGCUAGAGUGCUGGAGGAGGUAAGCCGGAAUCCUUGUGUAGUGGUGAAAUGCGUAGAUAUUAGGAGGAACACCAGUCGCGAAGGCGGCUUACUGGACAGUAACUGACGUUGAGGCUCGGAAGCGUGGGGAGCAAACACGAUUAGAUACCCUGGUAGUCCACGCCGUAAACAAUGAAUGAUAGGUGUCGGUGGGCAAAGCCCAUCGGUGCCGCCGCAAACGCAGUAAGCAUUCCACCUGGGGAGUACGUUCGCAAGAAUGAAACUCAAAGGAAUAGACGGGGACCCGCACAAGCGGUGGAGCAUGUGGUUUAAUUUGAAGCAACGCGAAGAACCUUACCAAGUCUUGACAUCCCAAUGAAUGCCUGGCAAAGCAGGCAGUCCUCCGGGACAUUGGAGACAGGUGGUGCAUGGUUGUUGUCAGCUCGUGUCGUGAGAUGUUGGGUUAAGUCCCGCAACGAGCGCAACCCUUAUCCCCAGUAGCCAGCACGUAGAGGUGGGCACUCUGUGGAGACUGCCAGGGACAACCUGGGGGAAGGUGGGGAGGACGUCAAAUCAUCAUGCCCCUUAUGAUUUGGGGUACACACGUGCUACAAUGGCGUGAACAGAGGGAGGCAAAGGGGGGACCUGGAGCAAACCCCAAAAAUAACGUCCCAGUUCGGACUGCGGCCUGCAACCCGGCCGCACGAAGCUGGAAUCGCUAGUAAUCGCGGAUCAGAAUGCCGCGGUGAAUAAGUUCCCGGGUCUUGUACACACCCCCCGUCA
rnacentral:rRNA from 1 species